rnacentral:ncRNA from 1 species
AUCGAGAGGUGGAACUUGAAGGAAGGUACGGGCAAAUCUCCGACCUGACGAAUAGAAACCGCAUAAGGUUAGUUUGGGAUGGAUAAGGUCGCAAUACAGACUGAAGUCCCAUAACGACGCGGAAUCCCAAAGGGUAGAUGGGGCAGAUGAAGGGAGAGAAAGC